CCUACGGGAGGCAGCAGUGAGGAAUAUUGGUCAAUGGACGAGAGUCUGAACCCGCCAAGUAGCGUGAAGGAUGACUGCCCUAUGGGUUGUAAACUUCUUUUAUAUGGGAAUAAAAUGUUCCACGUGUGGGCUUUUGUAUGUACCAUAUGAAUAAGGAUCGGCUAACUCCGUGCCAGCAGCCGCGGUAAUACGGAGGAUCCGAGCGUUAUCCGGAUUUAUUGGGUUUAAAGGGAGCGUAGGUGGAUUGUUAAGUCAGUUGUGAAAGUUUGCGGCUCAACCGUAAAAUUGCAGUUGAAACUGGCAGUCUUGAGUACAGUAGAGGUGGGCGGAAUUCGUGGUGUAGCGGUGAAAUGCUUAGAUAUCACGAAGAACUCCGAUUGCGAAGGCAGCUCACUGGACUGCAACUGACACUGAGGCUCGAAAGUGUGGGUAUCAAACAGGAUUAGAGACCCCAGUAGUC
rnacentral:rRNA from 1 species